rnacentral:rRNA from 1 species
AUGUGGGAUUCAGUGAAUCCUACGACCGAUGAGCUUAUUAGCCUAGAUAUGAUACUGAUGGAUGAGCAGGUAAAGGAAAUAAAAGGAUCUUCGGAAGUUUUCCCAGAAUAUUGCUUCGAGUUUGCUACCAUGGACACACUAGAAGAAAGGGCGGAAAAAGAUACACAAUGCUCAGAUGUCAUUGGACUACUAACUCAAAUGAAGCCAGUGGAGACAAGAAUAACAAAAAGGAACCCACAACCUUCAUAUAUCCGCGAGAUUGAAAUCCUAAUGCCAGAGGGUGAUAAAAUCAGAAUCAAGUUGUGGGGAAAGUUUGCUUAUUUUUUGACCGAGGAUGUAAUCGGCAGCCAAACUGUCCUUAUUAUCACAUCAACGAUGGUGUAG